rnacentral:sRNA from 1 species
AAAACCAAAAAAAAAAAAAACUGAAAAA